GAUGAACGCUGGCGGCGUGCCUAACACAUGCAAGUCGAGCGAACCCUUCGGGGUGAGCGGCGGACGGGUGAGUAACGCGUGGGUAACCUGCCCUGUACACACGGAUAACAUACCGAAAGGUAUGCUAAUACGAGAUAAUAUAUUUUAAUCGCAUGGUUAAGAUAUCAAAGCUCCGGCGGUACAGGAUGGACCCGCGUCUGAUUAGCUAGUUGGUGAGGUAAUAGCUCACCAAGGCGACGAUCAGUAGCCGACCUGAGAGGGUGAUCGGCCACACUGGAACUGAGACACGGUCCAGACUCCUACGGGAGGCAGCAGUGGGGAAUAUUGCACAAUGGGCGAAAGCCUGAUGCAGCAACGCCGCGUGAGCGAUGAAGGCCUUCGGGUCGUAAAGCUCUGUCCUCAAGGAAGAUAAUGACGGUACUUGAGGAGGAAGCCCCGGCUAACUACGUG
rnacentral:rRNA from 1 species